CCCGCUGAACUUAAGCAUAUCAAUAAGCGGAGGAAAAGAAACCAACAGGGAUUACCUCAGUAACGGCGAGUGAAGCGGUAACAGCUCAAAUUUGAAAUCUGGCUCUUUCAGGGUCCGAGUUGUAAUUUGUAGAAGAUGCUUUGGGUGUGGCUCCGGUCUAAGUUCCUUGGAACAGGACGUCAUAGAGGGUGAGAAUCCCGUAUGUGACUGGCUGCUUUCGCCCGUGUAAAGCUCUUUCGACGAGUCGAGUUGUUUGGGAAUGCAGCUCAAAAUGGGUGGUAAAUUUCAUCUAAAGCUAAAUAUUGGCCAGAGACCGAUAGCGCACAAGUAGAGUGAUCGAAAGAUGAAAAGCACUUUGGAAAGAGAGUUAAACAGUACGUGAAAUUGUUGAAAGGGAAGCGCUUGCAACCAGACUCGCAGGCCGUCGAUCAUCCUGGGUUCUCCCUGGUGCACUCGGCGGUUUUCGGGCCAGCAUCAGUUUGGGUGGUGGGAUAAAGGCCUUGGGAAUGUAGCUCCUCUCGGGGAGUGUUAUAGCCCUCGGUGCAAUGCCGCCUACCUGGACUGAGGACCGCGCUUCGGCUAGGAUGCUGGCGUAAUGGUUGUAAGCGACCCGUCUUGAAACACGG
rnacentral:rRNA from 1 species